GACGAACGCUGGCGGCGUGCCUAAUACAUGCAAGUUGAGCGCUGAAGGUUGGUACUUGUACCAACUGGAUGAGCAGCGAACGGGUGAGUAACGCGUGGGGAAUCUGCCUUUGAGCGGGGGACAACAUUUGGAAACGAAUGCUAAUACCGCAUAAAAACUUUAAACACAAGUUUUAAGUUUGAAAGAUGCAAUUGCAUCACUCAAAGAUGAUCCCGCGUUGUAUUAGCUAGUUGGUGAGGUAAAGGCUCACCAAGGCGAUGAUACAUAGCCGACCUGAGAGGGUGAUCGGCCACAUUGGGACUGAGACACGGCCCAAACUCCUACGGGAGGCAGCAGUAGGGAAUCUUCGGCAAUGGACGAAAGUCUGACCGAGCAACGCCGCGUGAGUGAAGAAGGUUGUCGGAUCGUAAAACUCUGUUGGUAGAGAAGAACGUUGGUGAGAGUGGAAAGCUCAUCAAGUGACGGUAACUACCCGGAAAGGGACGGCUAACUACGUG
rnacentral:rRNA from 1 species